AGCGAACGCUGGCGGCAGGCUUAACACAUGCAAGUCGAGCGGGCCCUUCGGGGUCAGCGGCAGACGGGUGAGUAACACGUGGGAACGUACCCUUUGGUUCGGAAUAACGCUGGGAAACUAGCGCUAAUACCGGAUACGCCCUUUUGGGGAAAGGCUUGCUGCCGAAGGAUCGGCCCGCGUCUGAUUAGCUAGUUGGUGGGGUAAUGGCCUACCAAGGCGACGAUCAGUAGCUGGUCUGAGAGGAUGAUCAGCCACACUGGGACUGAGACACGGCACAGACUCCUACGGGAGGCAGCAGUGGGGAAUAUUGGACAAUGGGCGCAAGCAUGAUCCAGCCAUGCCGCGUGAGUGAUGAAGGCCUUAGGGUAGUAAAGCUCUUUUGUCCGGGACGAUAAUGACGGUACCGGAAGAAUAAGCCCCGGCUAACUUCGUG
rnacentral:rRNA from 1 species